GACGAACGCUGGCGGCGUGCUUAACACACGCAAGUCGAACGAUGAAGCCGGAGCUUGCUCCGGUGGAUUAGUGGCGAACGGGUGAGUAACACGUGAGCAAUCUGCCCUUGACUCUGGGAUAACUGCGGGAAACUGUAGCUAAUACCGGAUACGACACCUUGGGGCAUCCCAGGGUGUGGAAAGAAUUUCGGUCAAGGAUGAGCUCGCGGCCUAUCAGCUAGUUGGUGAGGUAAUGGCACACCAAGGCGACGCCGGGUAGCCGGCCUGAGAGGGUGACCGGCCACACUGGAACUGAGACACGGUCCAGACUCCUACGGGAGGCAGCAGUGGGGAAUAUUGCACAAUGGGCGAAAGCCUGAUGCAGCAACGCCGCGUGAGGGAUGAAGGCCUUCGGGUUGUAAACCUCUUUUAGCAGGGAAGAAGCAAAAGUGACGGUACCUGCAGAAAAAGCACCGGCUAACUACGUGCCAGCCGCCGCAGUAA
rnacentral:rRNA from 1 species